AAGCACAGCACACCCCACGCAUCUGUGUUGGACACAAGAACCCACUGCUCACUUUUUCAUGAGGCCAGUUGCCUCUAAGACGUUUAUAAAAAAUCCUUUUCUAAGUUAGGGCAAGUUCAUUUCUUUCUAUUUGAAAGGACUCACCCAUUACUAAGGUGAAACAAGCCUGAUUCUGAGACUUUAGAGUGUCUCAGUUUAGAACUUGGGCUCUAAAAACCACAGGGUGUGGGUCUGAAACUGGUCUCUGGCAUGUUCUAGCUGUGAGGCCUUAGGCAAGCGGCUUUUUUAAGCCUGAUUCCCCACGUGUCAUUUAGGAGUGCUGUGAGAAAACAAGGAGUUGCCGUAGGUAAAGGGCUUAUUAGCAUUGUGAUGAGAUUGCUAAGAUUGGCUAUCUUUAUUAUCGUUAUCCUUGCUAUUUUAAAGCAUUGUAUUUUCCUUAUGAACAAUUAAUAAUCUGGCCCCAGAUUUCAGAUAGGACCUGCUCAUUUUAUUGAAGUUGCUUAUAUCAAAAUCAGGCCAAAUCCCUUGACGAAGUCUGAAGGUUAAACCAGACCCGAAUUGAAUCAGAGAUGCAAAAAGCAACGAAUUUUCUGGGGCAUCCAUCCCAAAGCAUCCAUGUCCCAGUGAAAAGAAAUUCAAAUUCCGUAUGAUGCAUUUACAUCAUCAUGAAUCAAGGGAUUUGUGACAAGAAUAGCUCAAAUAGUUUUGGAUUACAGUCUAACAUUUCUAUAACAGAUCAAUAUGGAUUCCAGUCUUUGAUUAAGCUAAUUUAAAAACAACAGCAACUGUUUGCAGUCCUCUGAGCUAACUGGACAGCCAAAAUAAGGGAUUUAGGUGUGUAUAAAAAAAUUAAGAGAAAGAAUUAAGGAUAUAGGUGAUCCUUAAUGUGGAGUAUAUGCAGGGAAUCAACAGAGCACAGAAAAGUAUGAGAAAAACUUGGAGUUAUUUGGCAGAAAGUAAUACAUACAUAUAAAAUAUCAUCAUCGUCAUCCUAGAUACCGCUUUGAGUGAUAAUCACUUGAUCCCUACUGGGCAUUUCUGAGGGGUCUGAAAAUGAGUACUGCAAUAAGUCGGAUGUUUUCUUUUUAAACACGAUCAUCACAUUGUAUACUUGAUACUUAAAGUGAGAGCUCAGAUCUUCCCUUUCCCUGGUAUAAUUUUCAUCUAAGCAUUCCUUAGAUACUUAGAUCAUUCUUAAUGGAGAUUGUGCCUUAUACCCUCUGUGGACACAUGGAAAUCUGGCUAAUUGGACUGACUUGAUUACAGUAGUUGGUGAAUUCUCCAAUCUCCUUCCACUGCAAUAAAUGCUUAUGAUAUUCUUGUCACCUAUUAAGUAACUGUUUUAGAUUGUAAUCAUUUUUGAAAACAGUGGUUACAGGCAAAAGCUCUUUUACAUUCUGCACACCAAACAGAAUUCCUAUGCUUUCAAAAUGUUUCUUUUCUUGUUUGUAUAACUGGGUGUCCUAGUAAAGUCUGAAGCAAACUCAUAGCAUAAAUAGCUGUCACUCAGAUCCUACAGCACCUUCAACUGAACGUCAGCUUUGCCAUAAAGGAGUCCCUUUCAGCCUCAGGAAGCCCAUCAGGAUGGCAGAGCUUUAAAAAAAAAUGAUGUAUGAGGUGAUGGAAUGCUUACUCCCCAAAUUCAAACUUCUGAAAAUUAGAAAAUACACUUUUCUUUUGAAAGCACCUUAUUUGCUGUUCAAUGUUAUAUCCCAGAAAAAAUUUUUAAUUAUUUGCUUUCUUGGCCGAAAUGAUGUGACCUGUCAAUAAUAAUUAAGGUAGUUUUGUCUCUUUCAGUGCUAGGAGGAGUACCUAAUUCCAAUGGUUACUAUCCCCAUAUAUUAUACCUGUCAAAAUUCUUCAAACUCUAAUGAGUCAGCUUGCUGAAAAUACAUUCCACACUUCCAUUUGAAAGUAGAAAACUAAGUGCUGAGUGGGAAAAAGUUUACCCCAAUUCCAGUGUAAAUCAGCACAGAAAGGAAGCCGGCAAACACUCCAACUACUUGCUGUAGACACAAACAUGCGCUCGACCCCGAUUGCGCGUGAUCCACUCUCAUAAUGACUGUUCCUACCCCUAACACGAAAAUGCUGGGGAAAAGUAAGACAAUGUGGACGCAUGAAAGAUUAGCCAUUUCCUACCAGAACACACAAAAACUCCUCUCACUCCUAGAGACAUUUCUUGUCAGGGAAAAUAACAGUGCCUCUUGGAGAGCUAGCUCCUGAAUGAGAGUGGACUCUGGGAAGGAGAGCUUCCCUCUGUCCUCUCCAGACUCCGGUGACAUCUUCUCUCUGCUGCAAAGCGGAGCUGGUUACUCUUUGAGGGGCACAGCCCAGACACAAAGAUGUGAAAUUUCAAAAAUGUGAUCAAGGCCAGCCCGUCCGCCCUGGGAGGCUAGCAGCUGCCGAGUGACCGCUGAUGAAGUGGCUUCUGAAGGAGGUGGGCAGAUUGAUUCCAGCUGCUGAGAGCAGGGCAGGGCAGUGGCCCGGAAUGCACAGCCCGGCCAGGCAAGACACAGCAGCAGCUUCCCGACCAAGGGCAAGGCCAAAUAUGAGCUCUGUGUGUGUUUGCAGCCUGAGCCUGAGGGAAGGAAGAAUGUCAUUGUUCCAUCAGUCAGGGGCUUUCGAGGCACGCUGGGCCAAAAGGUGCCAUGUGCACAGUGUCAUUUUAUAAGUGGACCGUUGCUCAGGAUAUCUGAAAGUUGUCCCCUGAGACGUGGCUUCAGAAUGGGCCCACAGUUCCUAAGCGAAUCCUUUCGGCUGGAUUCCUGUUUUCCUCCCCCACCCAAUCCCAGCUCCUGGCCCUCUUCCAAUAGCUCUUAACCCCUGCCCAACCCCCUCUGCUCCCCUCCCCCACUGCACACAAACACCGUAAUCGACAUGCAGAAACAGGGAAAGGGUGCAGUGGAGAAGUGGGGGAUACUGAGAGCCCUGGGACUGUCCUGGAUGGAGACGGGACAAAACACGCUCCUUAGACAUGCUGGCCUCAAAGUCAAAGAGCUCAAUGGGAGGGACUAAUUUAGGGGUCCCCUGAGGGCCCCAAACUCAGACACCAAGUGAUCUAAGGGGAGGGAAGGGGUAAGAGGUAGGCGGGCAUGAAGGCCCGCCUAAUGGAAUAUUCAAUAUCCUGCAAAAUGCACUUUCGGCCGUGCACUUCCAGAGACUAAAAGCCAGUAAUGGGCUUUGGAGUCUGCACUUCCUCUCCCUAAUGUCCAGAGGCGCUUUAAAGCUGCAGCCAAUCGAUCAGCCUUCUCCGGUGAAGGCGGCGAGUGGGGUGCAAAAGCUUCCUGCUUGUGGCCAAAAUCACCCGGCCUCCUCUGCACACCACGAAUGGGCGACACACAACUUUGAACUGGCAGGAUUUGAGUCUUCAGUAACCGGGAGGAGGAAAGCAAGGAGCCUGAAGGCGCCGGAGAAACAGACCCCUCCCUCUUCAUCCGAACUUUUCCAGGGAGAGACUCAGAAAGAAGACAAACAAUGUGGGUGCAUUAUCCACCCGGGGAUAGGGCUGACCAGUAGCCCCAAACCUGCUUCAGGUGCAAGGUCAUGGAGCCGCCUCCAAGCCCAGGGCAGCCCCAGAUGUAGCACUUCUGAGAAGGACACAGAGUAAACGAAUAUCCAGAAAGAGGGGUUUCUUUGUAAUUUCAUGCUGACAUCACAGCUGCCUUCAAAGUGACCCUGGGAAUAACCCGCGCCACCACCAUCCCAGAGGCCAGGUCGCUGCAGCGGAGACGCGCCCGGGUCCCGCCUCCCCACGUCCCUGAGCUCUCGCAGGACUUGGGUUCUGAGCAAGUUCAGUCCCUAAACUGAACCCACGCCUCCCCAGCCUCCCGUUGCCCCUCCGCAGGAGGCUCCAGCGGCCCCACUGAGCACGCCCCGCGGCCUGGGUCUGGGGGUCGCCUCAGGGAAGCUCUCCAGGCCGGGAUGGGCAGGGUUCUGUCCCAGCGUGGGUGCCCCCACAGGGGUGCGCGAACGAAACACACAGUGACUGCGUCCGGGUGCGGAGUGGCCAAGUUAGCUGGUGCAAGAAAACUUUCCGUGGUCCUUCUCCCCACCCCCACGCCACCGGGGCCCGUCUCCCCAAGGAGCUCGCCUUUCCCAGCCCCGGCCGGGACAAGCACAGCACGUGAUGGGCAGAAAUAAAAAUAAACACUUCCCAUUCCCCGGCCGUGGGGCCACCCCCACUCCGCGCACGCCGCGAGCAGGGGGCGCCCGGGCUGACCAGCCCCGGCCGCUGGAGCCCGGAUCCCCCAGUGCCUGAGUCGCCGCCCGGGUCGGGCCCCGGGCCCACCCGGCCGGAGGGGUGGCCUGCGCUCUAGCCCUCCGCACCGCGCCCUGGCGCCUACCUUUCGGAUUUGGUGAACUUCCGGAACGCCUGUCGGAGGUCGUGGAAGGACCGGACUAAAAGUCUAACAGAAGAAAUAAAAAGUAGAGACCACAGAUGCUGAAGAGCAGCUUCCCUGAUGUCUGGAGUGAAUGUUUAGUUUAAAAUCACAAACUGAAAUCAGAAAUAAGACCUGAAAUCAGAAUCCUCAGAGAUGAAACACCUGGUUCUUGAACAGGAAUGACUGAAGGACUUGUCUGAGCAUGGACAUCACUCGAGGUGACAGCACUGUGGCUGCCUGACUCACAGUGGGAAACUCCUGUGCGGCUGAGCCAGAAGCGGACUGACUUGUCUGAUCGGCCGGAGAAAUGAUUAUAUUAAGCUACUGAUAUGAUCAUUCUAAAAGACCUUGAGAUUUCUUUAUAGUUUAGCUAAGCCAGCCCCAGUCCUGCUAUGAUUCAGCCUAAUACCUAUGCCUUCCACUCUUCUUUUGUUCCUAGAGGUAGAAGGGAGAAGAACCGGCCACCAUCAGCUACUGUCUUUUUCUUUCCACCAUCCCUUCCACAGAGGAUGCAUGGAAACAAGCUCAUCUGAACUGCACAUAACACCACCAUAGCCUUUGAAGUAGUCUGAGCUUCUGAUAUUGGCCCUCAACCUUCAGAACCUACUUAGCACCGAAACAAAGCAAAAUCCACAUAGUUUGUCAAGUGACCCUGAUUGCCCACUUCCGUAGCAAUCAUGGUAAGAGGUGCUCAAUCUCCAUCUGCCAUGGACACACUGUGCCCGUAACACUGAGUACCACAGAGAUAAGUGGGCAGAGGAUGGGAUCUUCACAUGCCCUUCACAAUGGAUCCAGAGUGGAGUCCAGGGGCCUCUACAUUGCCCUCUUUUCAAUUCACAAGAUUGGACUGGCCCUGCCUCAUAGCAAUAUAAUUCGGAUUUUUUUUUCUACCUACGUAGUCUCUUUAAAUUUCUAUCUCCCUUUGUCUUUUUCUCCCUCUCUCUCUCUCUCCUCUCAGUAUGUUAUCCCUAACGUCAACUAUGGAGGGAAAACAAAAAAUUCUACUACAGAUGGCAAAUUGUCCACUUGCACACAGGACACAGUGGUCCAGCA